UUGUCUUUUAAAUAAAGACUAGUAUGAACGGCUAAAUGAGGACAGAUCUGUCUCUUACAAUUGACCAGUGAAACUGAUCUUCAAGUCCAAAAGCUUGAAUGAACACAUAAGACGAGAAGACCCUGUGGAGCUUCAAACCCACACUAUAAUUAACCAAAUAGCACCGGUUUUAAGUUGGGGCGACUUCGGAAUACAACCUAACUUCCGAGCACAGGGCCAUCACACCCUCACCAAGACCGACAGGUCAAAGAAAAAUCCGACCCAGUCACACUGACCAACGAACCAAGUUACCCCAGGGAUAACAGCGCUUUCUUCUUCAAGAGUCCCUAUCGACAAGAAGGUUUACGACCUCGAUGUUGGAUCAGGACACCCAAAUGGUGCAGCAACUAUUAAAGGUUCGUUUGUUCAACGAUU
rnacentral:rRNA from 1 species